CCUGCCCCCGCCCCAGCAGCACACUGUGGUUUGUACGGCACUGUGGCCACGUCCAAGCCACACUGUGGUGUUAGAGCGAGGGUA
rnacentral:pre_miRNA from 1 species